UUUCCUUUCUCUACCUAUGAUUCUUAAACAUGUGAGCAAAUCAAAAUGAGUGAAGUCAAGAGAACAAGUGAUGUUUCUUUUUAUUUUGUUUGUUGAUUGUUGUUUAUGAUUUUCUUUUAGUCCAAAUUUAGUAUAUACUGUCCUGGGGGACGUCUGAGAAACCCAUGGAUCAAAAAUGACAACUUAGGGUGUUGAAUUAGCGAUUAAAAUGUCAUGAACAUCUCCCUUAUAUGAUAUGCACAGAAGAUGUUCGAUAAAAUGCCUCAGAGGUUUCAAGUUACCAGAUGCAAGCGACGGUACAUGCGACGGAACUUUGGAGUCCAGAUGGACCGUCGCAUGACACCGUCGCACCUAUGUGAAAAACUGAUGCACUGGAAUCAACCCGGCGGUAGGGAUCGAUGAACCGUCGCAUGCCCGAUGGACCGUCGCUUGCCACCUUCACACAUAUCUCAGAACAUGAGUUACUGGAAUACUCCGACGAUAGAGGUCGACGUACUACGGCUCCUAAAAUACCACCAUCCAUGGGCAGAGGUAGAAGCCAAUGAGCCGGGUAAGCGCAAAGUUCUGAUGCGCCAGCUCGAAACACUAGACGAAAUCAUCAACCAGUUGUUUCUUCAGCCUCCUCAUCUGAUGAGGUGGUUAAAAGCAGCAGCAGUAGUACCUCUAUUUCAGUACCGCCGGAGGUAGCAGUCAAAACUUCUAACCCUGUUCCAGAAGAAGUGUCUCAACAAGAGGAUCCAAAUGUCAUUCAUCGAAAGGAUUAGCAGCUUAGGGAAGCCAUAAGAUAGCAAGUAGCAGGUGCUCGUAAGAUCUUUUACGAAGGACUGGAACCUACUUCAGAUAGGCUAUAUUCGAGGAACACCAGAUUAUCACAACAAACUUGCAUGAAUAUCCAGAGCUUGAGCGCCGUUUCAAUUCAUAUGGGUUGGAUUGGAUGAGUAGGCCACUGGGAUUGUACCAACCUAUCUUGUUGCGGGAAUUCUUCGCUAAAUAUCUAGCACUGCUAGAAAAGGAUUUUCCCAAGGGUGCAACGGCUGCAGAUAGGGAUAAGCUUAAUGUAGUCCCAGUGAGAGGAGUCGACACUGAUUACUCGGAAAGGGCGCUGAACAGGUUUUUAUUUUGCCCGGAAUAUCAAAUACCAGGGGCUAUCCCAGAGUUGGAGCAUUGGUUAUUCACAUAGCUGAAUAAAGGUGAUGUCUAGCCAGGAUUCUGACAGAUGGAGGUAACCUUACAUGGUUACUUGACCCACGUGAGAGAAUCUCGAAGAAAUCACUGAGUUUCAAGGAAAAAUUCUGGUGGGCUAUUGUGCGACUUAGGCUUAUGCCCGCAGGUGGUGAUGAUCUUCUUGAGAACACCCAAGCUGUACGCAUUCUUUACGUGCUACAUUGAUGAGAAUGUUGUUUCGACACGUUCAGUUGCAACAUGUAAAAUUAAAUUUCACUUUAGAAGGAAAUAAAUAAAUGAUAAUCACAGAGUUUAUAAUAAACUCUAUGAUGAUAUUACAAAUGAUAAUACUUAAGUAGUAAAAUUUUUAAAUAAGCCAGAUUGUACAACCAGAUCCAUGUUUCGGUGAAAAUGUGAAAUCUUCAAGAAGAUGUAUUCCGAUAAAAAUCUAA